rnacentral:rRNA from 1 species
CCUACGGGAGGCAGCAGUGAGGAAUAUUGGUCAAUGGGCGCGAGCCUGAACCAGCCAAGUAGCGUGAAGGAUGACUGCCCUACGGGUUGUAAACUUCUUUUAUAAAGGAAUAAAGUGAGGCACGUGUGCCUUUUUGUAUGUACUUUAUGAAUAAGGCUCGGCUAACUCCGUGCCAGCAGCCGCGGUAAUACGGAGGGUCCGAGCGUUAUCCGGGUUUAUUUGGUUUAAAGGGAGCGUAGAUGGGUUGUUAAGUCAGUUGUGAAAGUUUGCGGCUCAACCGUAAAAAUGCAGUUGAUACUGGCAGUCUUGAGUGCAGUUGAGGUAGGCGGAAUUCGUGGUGUAGCGGUGAAAUGCUGAGAUAUCACGAAGAACUCCGAUUGCGAAGGCAGCUUACUAAACUGCCACUGACAUUGAUGCUCGAAAGUGUGGGGAUCAAACAGGAUUAGAUACCCUUGUAGUC